AACGCACCUUGCGCCUCUUGGUAUUCCGAGAGGCAUGCCUGUUUGAGUGUCAUGAAAACCUCAAUCCUUCACGGUUUUGCGACCGGGCUGGACUUGGAUUUGGGUGUCUGCCGAUCUCCGGCUCACCUUAAAGGCGUUAGUGGGACAGGCCUCGGGCUUUGACGUAAUAAGUUCCGUCUCACCCCCGGCUCUGGUCCGCUUACAACCCCCCUUACUUUUUCAUCUCUGACCUCAAAUCAGGUAGGGCUACCCGCUGAACUUAA
rnacentral:misc_RNA from 1 species